UGAUUGCUCAGACUUUUAUUUUUUUGUUGUCUUCAAAGACAAUUUUUGCAAUAUUUGGAUUCAAAAUAUAAAGGGCAUAACGGAAUAAGCAGAUUUCAUCUGCUUACUCCGCUAUGCCCUUUACUAUUGUAACAACACAUAAAUAAUAUAUUAACGUAAGAGUAAAAAAUAAACAGAGGAUGUUACAAAUAUAACUAUUAAAAUUCCAAACAUACGAUUCAGCUUGUGUUGUAAUAGUAAACUAAAAUAAAUUAACAUUAAGAAACAAACACGUAAAUAAAAGGAAUAAAUAAAUAGAAAUAUAUUAACUUUGUUACACAAAUUUUUUCUGCUAAUUUUUCUGCUACAUUUUGAUAAAUUUUAGUAAAUAAAAGUUGUUAAUUGCAAAUCUGAAAUAAAAAUUUAAAAAAUUAAAAUAACGAAUUUAAUACGGCCACCAAAUUAAAAAAUUUAGUAGUUUAUUUACGUAUAAUACUUUCAAGAGAUUUUUAGGUUUCUCAUUUUUAAUUAGAUGUCAAAAUAAAAAAAUAAAAAAUGGUGGAUUUACAUAUUUUGGAAUUUAAUGCAAUUUCUAAGCCGAUUUUUGAUGCACACUUACUAUUCCCCCACAAACCUUUUUCAAUGUAUCGUAAAAGAAAGAUUUUUUAAUUAAGUAAUUUUAUUAACCCAUUAAGGGCUACCAAGAAUUUAGGAAAUUCUGGCAUUAAAAUAAACAUUUGAUUUAGGGCAUUAGGUCGAGUUACAAAAAAAUAUGCUGUGAUUUUUUGCCAGUUUUAAAUUUCAAGAUAGCGGACCAAUAUGACGGAUCGAAAAUUUAAAAUUAUGCACUUAUUACAUGAAAAAUUGUAUAUAAAUGUUUUUUGGGUUGCUGAUUAUAAGUCCGUUGCUAGAAUUUGCAUAAUUUAAAAAUUUCGAUUCGCUACAUUGAUCCGCUACCUUGAAAUUUGAAAUCGGCAAAAAAUCAUGGCGUAUUUUAUCAUAUAUCGACCUAACGCUCUGGGUAUCGAUCUAUAAGUUACUGUCUCUUUCUAUUCGACACCAAUAGAAAGAGAUAGUUACAUGAAAUUUUUCACUUUUCACGUUUCCGCCCUAAGGAAAAAGUUACAUGAUUGCUGUCCUGAAUGAGACGGUUAUUUUGAGUUCAAAAUUCCCAAAAUGUUACACGUGCGCUCGCGGAAAUGAAUGAGACACUCUCUCUUAUAAAACAAACGGUUUUAUUCUGAGACAAAAUACUCGUCCGCUCGAGCGCGAGACCGAGAUUCAACUUGUUAUUUAUUCGCGUUGUCAAACCAAUGACAGCUGACAACGUUCUUCCCGAAAAUUAAUAUAUCGAUCGGCCAGGAUAGCUGACCGAUCCAAGGGGCCUAACACUGUCCCUCUCCUUUGAAAGUUGUCGUCCCGACAACUACGCAUUGAAAAAAAAAAA